GAUGAACGCUGGCGGCGUGCCUAAUACAUGCAAGUCGAGCGAACAGAUGAGGAGCUUGCUCCUCUGACGUUAGCGGCGGACGGGUGAGUAACACGUGGAUAACCUACCUAUAAGACUGGGAUAACUUCGGGAAACCGGAUCUAAUACCGGAUAAUAUAUUGAACCGCAUGGUUCAAUAGUGAAAGACGGUUUUGCUGUCACUUAUAGAUGGAUCCGCGCCGCAUUAGCGAGUUGGUAAGGUAACGGCUUACCAAGGCAACGAUGCGUAGCCGACCUGAGAGGGUGAUCGGCCACACUGGAACUGAGACACGGUCCAGACUCCUACGGGAGGCAGCAGUAGGGAAUAUUCCGCAAUGGGCGAAAGCCUGACGGAGCAACGCCGCGUGAGUGAUGAAGGUCUUCGGAUCGUAAAACUCUGUUAUUAGGGAAGAACAAAUGUGUAAGUAACUAUGCACGUCUUGACGGUACCUAAUCAGAAAGCCACGGCUAACUACGUG
rnacentral:rRNA from 1 species